AUUCAUACCAUAGCUCAUAAAAAAAGAAGCAACCUUACUAUUGAGCUAAACUAUUGGGCCUAAAGCCUAGACCCAAUAGCCCAGGCCCAGACCUGUCAAGACUUGUGUCUAUCCGGGCUCUUUUUCAUGUCUGGCCCAACUUGAAUCAGAAAAAGACCUUUUGGUCUUAAAGAUUGGGCUUAUAGCUUUGGCCAUUGUUCGACUAUACUUAUGAGAACAUGAUAAUGAGAUGACUACACUCCUAAGGCAAUCAGGAAGCAAGAAAUUGGUUUGCUACAAUACUCCAAAUGAAAUGAAAUGCUUUUCAAAAUUACAUUAUAACCUAUUAAUACAUUAAGCAACUAUCGAAAGGAAACUAAUCUAUUACAAGUUCUGUAUGAUUAAUAACCUAAAGAGAUGCCUUGCCUCUUUGAACAUGACUUGUCCAUCAAAGCUUGGUAUCAUCUUGUAUUAUAGCAGUAGAGUCCAAAUCUCAGCUUUUGAACCUGCUAAUUUGGUCACCUAGUCAUCAAAUCUGCAGGUACUAGCCCCAAGUUCCCUAACAACUUUGUAGCCAUUCUCAUCCCAAACAACAAAUAUAACACAUAGAUUUCAGUACACUAUCGGCUAUCAUAUCUAAAUUUAGGCUUUAACACAUGCUGAUUUAACCAAUUAAUGGCCAAAUCUACAAGUUAUGGCCUACUUAACUUUAAACAAGGCAAGCAUUAUACUAAAAUCGUUUAUAAGUAAGAAGGGCAUGAAUAACAGGUGAGAGAGCUGAAGUAAAGAAAAUCAACAGAGAGUUUCAACUCAUGCAAAUCCAGAUUUCAACAUUCUAAGAAGACUACAUAAUCAAAAACCACACAAGUGCUCAUGUUAAUACACUUACAAUCAGAAUAGCUAAGUUCAAAAAGAUUAAUCAAAUAAUGCUAAAGGAACACUCAUUCAUUAAACAUCUCUUUGCAAAUUUUGACAUUUUAUAACUUAAAAAAACUACAUAGGAGAUCUGAAGCAGUACCUUGAAGAGUGAGAGGCAGCAAAGAAAAUAAAGAACUAAAUAUGCUGAAAAUCCAAAAAUGGAACAGCAAACAAGAGCAGGCAAUAGCAGCAGUAAAACACAGCACAUCACAACCUUAGAUAAACCAGUAUUCCCAAAAAAGCAAAACCCCAGCAGUCUUGAAACUAGAAAUUCUAGCCAAACUCAAUAAAAACCCUCUACUUCAGACCAUGUUUUCAACAAAGAAAUCCAAAAGAAAGAGAAGAAUUUGAAGGUUUUAUAAAGUAUUCUGAAAUCUGAUCUUUUCAGAAGAAAGGACCUUUUUUGUGUCGUAAUGAUUCUAAAUGCUGUUUUUAGAACUUUUUCAGGCUAAGAAUAAUGCUCCAAAAUCCAUGUAAGAUUGAGGGAAAGCUUUCUUUAUAUAGAGUGCCAAAAAAGCAUCUAGGGAAUAUUCUACCCUAAAUUCCC
rnacentral:lncRNA from 1 species